rnacentral:lncRNA from 1 species
UUCAUUUUUGUUGGGUCAUACAGCAACUACAUAGUUCAGCAUGGGGAUACUAAGGUCAAAUCGUAUUGCUGAAUCUCUUGAUGAGUUGGUUAAAACUAGUUAGUCUCUCUAUUCAUAUACAAGUCAUAUAUUACUCAUACACAAGCCAUAUACUAUAAUUUAGUCCUCCAUAGUAAGGUGUUCUACCCUUUAGGUUAAGGGACCACAAGUAAUCUCAUGCAUUUGGUUCGCACUUCUACACCUCCGUACUUUGUGAGGUGGUUUGGUACUAUUGACUGCUCUGCGUAAUAGUAUACUAAGCUGUUAGUGUGAGGUCUAACCUUAGUGAAGAAGGAACUCCACUCCAUUAUCCAUUACUACAAUCUCACAAGUAUGAUGCCAAAUCUCUCCGACAGUUGUAAGCAAGUUUAUUUGCCAUGUCCUAACAAAUUGCAUGUGCUUGGAGUAGAAUGAGAAAAAUUUAUGUCUGAUAUUUUUUAUAUACGAGUAGAAAAAUAUACAUGCAAAUGCAUGUGUAAAAGGGCAAUAUUACUUAAUUAUAAAGAUAUUAUUUAAUUAUGAAAAUUUGCAAAAUUAUAUAGCUAUAUUACUUUAGACAUCCAUGUUGCAAUUACACAUGUUCAAAUCAGUAAUCAUAUGGUUGUCAUGCUGUAUAUGAUUCUUCAUCUCUUUAUCACUGUAUAUUGCUCCACUAUAUAACAUCAUCAUUUUAGUGUGGCUGGAUGGUUGAUAAGUUUGAAUGGUCAACAUAAGUUCAACUUAAACCAGGAUGAUGCCAAAUAAUCUAAGUCAAACAUCACCAAACAUGUAUCUCCACCAUCAAGAAAAAGAGUUUGGAUCUAAUUCAAGGUUAAAAUGUAAAGAUCCCCUCUUAAUCAUGGCUAUCCUCUGCUGAACGAUUGUGAUUUAGAGGACUCCACAUGAUAUAUUGAAUGUUAGGCCACAUGAAAUUAUGUGGGGCAUUUCAAUCAUGAUCGUUGCACAAUACACCAUCUCAUAAAAAACUGUUAAUUAAGGUAUAGGCCUAAAAUAAUAGAAAGAGCUGAAGGAUUUUUGAGCUUAUUACCUAAUUACAUAAUGAGGAACUUUUGCAGGGCGAGUUAGUGUAGGUUGUAUUGGUUUCUUUUCAAAAUUUUGGGACUUGGACAAAGUUUUUUUACCCUUUUUUCCUGUUUUAUCCUUCAGGUUCUACUGGAUCGACCUUCUCUUUUGGUAUCGACCAGGGUUAACCUGGGUUAGGUUUGGGUGAGCUAUGAUUUGGCCAAUGUUAAUACACCAUUGUAAUUAGAUGAUCUAGAGACUACUCUUUUGAAGCCAAAGGAAAGAUGAUCAUCGAUGGUAAUCCUCUCAUCUCCGUUGCUAAUCUUAUAGCAAAAAAAAAAAUGUGUUGCCGCAUGAAACAUGCAGUUCAGACACACUGCCAUCCAACCAAAACCUCACCGGCAUGCUGAAUCACUCCCGCUCGCCUCCUCUCUCCCCUUCUCUCUCCUUAUUGCUCUCCUUUCUCCCUUCGUGAGCUCUCUCUUUUUCCAACUAUCUAUUUACAUAUCUCCCUUCUCCCUCUAUGCAUGUGGGG